rnacentral:sRNA from 2 species
CUCCUACUGUUGGUGUUUGCUCUCGAUAUUUCAUGGAACAUUUUCGAUUUCAAGAUGCCGUGGUAGUAUACAUGGUCAACGUCUUUCAGAUCAUGGAAAUAAUUGUACAGACAGCAUCAACAAGAGAACGAACUAUUUGGACAACUCUCUCCCACUACGAGUGAGCUAUUGCUUCUCGUGUACCAAAAGUUCCCGCGUGCGUGGCUACUUUCUUAGUUGCCUGUGAGAAUUAAAAAACAGAGUUGUUUCUUCUCGUGCGAUUUCUAUAACAUUUUUUCCCUAGAUACUACCAAUCUAACUCGCCAUGAAACC